UACGUAGGGGGCGAGCGUUGUCCGAAGUUACUGGGCGUAAAGCGCACGUAGGCGGCAUGGUAAGUUGCAUGUAAAAGGCGGCAGCUCAACUGCCGAGUGUGGUGCAAGACUGCCAGGCUUGAGGCAAGUAAAAGAAUGUGGAACUCCGAGUGUAGCGGUGGAAUGCGUAGAGAUUCGGAAGAACACCCAUGGCGAAGGCAGCAUUCUGGACUUGACCUGACGCUGAGGAGCGAAAGCCAGGGGAGCAAACGGG
rnacentral:rRNA from 2 species